rnacentral:lncRNA from 1 species
UGUUUAGCUGCCAACUUUGGUGGCUCCAUGUCAUGUGCUGAAGGCUUUGGGGCCCUUCCUGUGUUCCUCAUGUCCUGAGGCAGUGAAGGACUUCGCUUGCUCUGUAGGAAUGGUUCCUGUGCAAGGACAUGGUCGUCUGCCUGUAGCAGAUACUGAAGGUUGUGGUGUUGUGACUGCAGUGAUGGAGUUGGCUUUAGAAUGGCAAUUGCACUCUGCUCACGUGCAGCUCUUUCUGACACAGGCAGGAGUCGGGCAGCGGUACUGCAGCUCCUCUGGCAGCUUUGCAGCUCAGUUGGGAAGCAGAAGAUGUGGAUGUGAAAGAAGAAGUCCGUUGCUGGGACGUUCCCCUGUUCUUCCCCCAGCUGUCCCCUUGCCUCAGCCUGGAUUCCCCUUGUGUUACUGUAGGAUUUCCUUCCAUCCCCCUAGCUGCCCCUUGCUUUCCACAAGGCUGCCCUUUCCUUUCUCAUGACAGCCCACCCAUCAUUCCCUCAGAGCCCCAAUGUCCCCCCCGGUGUUUCCCAGCAAGACCCCUAGAGACACCCUGUAGCCCCCCACAGAGCCCCAUAGCCCCUCAAGGACCCCCACAGACCCAGUACACCUCCCCCGUAGCUGGCCCAUACCCACAUGGAGCCCCACAGUCCCCAGCAGCACCCCAUGUCCCCCACUGGGCUUCCCCGGAAUCCUCCUAUUUCCUCCCUCAGACCUCCUUUACACCUCCAAGAUCCCCCCUGGGAACUCACUGACCCCCACGGUCCCUGACAGGACCCCCAUCACCAUCCCAGGACACCCAUAGCCCAUCUUUGGCCUCUUUUCCCCCCGACCUGCCUCCAGAUCCCGUACAACCUCACAGUGCUGUGGCAUGGAUGGCUUCUGCAG